rnacentral:rRNA from 1 species
UACAGAGGGUGCAAGCGUUAAUCGGAUUUACUGGGCGUAAAGGGCGCGUAGGUGGUUAUUUAAGUGAGAUGUGAAAUCCCCGGGCUUAACCUGGGAACUGCAACUUAUACUGGGUAACUGGAGUGCAAUAGAGGGUAGUGGAAUUUCCGGUGUAGCGGUGAAAUGCGUAGAUAUCGGAAGGAACACCAGUGGCGAAGGCGGCUACCUGGAUUGACACUGACACUGAGGCGCGAGAGCGUGGGGAGCAAACAGG